rnacentral:rRNA from 1 species
GACGAACCGUGCGAACGUUUAUUCGGAAUCACUGGGCUUAAAGCGCGUGUAGGCGGGAGGGCACGUCCGUCGCUGAAAUCCCCCGGCUCACCGGGGAACGGGCGCGGAUACGACCUUCCUGGAGGGGCGUAGGGGGACCUGGAACUUCCGGUGGAGCGGUGAAAUGCGUAGAGAUCGGAAAGAACACCAACGGCGAAAGCACUCUGCUGGGCCGACACUGACACUGAGAGACGAAAGCUAGGGAGCGAAUGGG